rnacentral:rRNA from 1 species
UACGUAGGGUGCGAGCGUUGUCCGGAAUUAUUGGGCGUAAAGGGCUCGUAGGCGGUUUGUCGCGUCGGGAGUGAAAACACCGGGCUUAACUCGGUGCUGGCUUUCGAUACGGGCAGACUAGAGGUAUUCAGGGGAGAACGGAAUUCCUGGUGUAGCGGUGAAAUGCGCAGAUAUCAGGAGGAACACCGGUGGCGAAGGCGGUUCUCUGGGAAUGUCCUGACGCUGAGGAGCGAAAGUGUGGGGAGCGAAUAGG